UAAAGUGUACGAGCUGUGCACCGUGAC
rnacentral:sRNA from 1 species